CUCUCUCCUCAUUCUCUAUCCUCGGCGCUUCUCCUUCUCUCUCCUCUAAUCUCGAUCCGCUUCACCUUCUUUCUCCUCUGAUCUAGAUCGCGCAGCGCCGACGUUCCUCUCCUCCCCUCCUUCUCUCUCCGACCUCUCUUCUUUGUCCUCUCUCCCUUCUCUGUCCUCUCUGUCCUCUUAUGUCUCGAUCUCCGACCUCUCUUCUGUCUUCUGCCCACCACCACCGACGCCACUAACCACCGCCGCCACCAAGUCCACUUAUUUUCUGGUCAAAUUUGAGGUGUUAAUUCAUGCAACAAUUCAAGGAUUCAAGACUUUUUUUUUUGGAAUAUUGUUUUGAUGUUGUAAUUUUUUUUUUUUUUUAUUGUUUUACAAUUUCAAUUUCUGAGUUGAAUUUCAUUAUAAUUCAUUGUAACUUUUUAAUUUUUUUUUGUAUUGUACAAUAACAAUUUACUUGAAUAUAAUGUGAUUUACAAUUGUUUUGA